rnacentral:rRNA from 1 species
CCUACGGGAGGCAGCAGUGGGGAAUUUUGGACAAUGGACGAAAGUCUGAUCCAGCAAUGCCGCGUGCAGGACGAAGGCCUUCGGGUUGUAAACUGCUUUUGUACGGAACGAAACGGCCUGCUUUAAUACAGUGGGCUAAUGACGGUACCGUAAGAAUAAGCACCGGCUAACUACGUGCCAGCAGCCGCGGUAAUACGUAGGGUGCGAGCGUUAAUCGGAAUUACUGGGCGUAAAGCGUGCGCAGGCGGUUAUAUAAGUCAGAUGUGAAAUCCCCGGGCUCAACCUGGGACCUGCAUUUGAGACUGUAUAGCUAGAGUACGGUAGAGGGGGAUGGAAUUCCGCGUGUAGCAGUGAAAUGCGUAGAUAUGCGGAGGAACACCGAUGGCGAAGGCAAUCCCCUGGACCUGUACUGACGCUCAUGCACGAAAGCGUGGGGAGCAAACAGGAUUAGAUACCCUGGUAGUCCACGCCCUAAACGACUGUCAACUGGUUGUUGGGUCUUCACUGACUCAGUAACGAAGCUAACGCGUGAAGUUGACCGCCUGGGGAGUACGGCCGCAAGGUUGAAACUUAAGGAAAUUGACGG